UCAACAACGUGGCUCACGAAUACGUCCGUCAUUUUCCCACUCCAUCUCAGCAUUCACUUCGUCGUAUGUGUCUCCAUUAAACUUCGAUUGGAGGUGGUCUGGUGUCGUUUCAACGACGAGAAUGGCAAGAAACCCAAAAAUUCGAAAUUGCGAUGGUGAGGAUGAUGAUGUGCUUUGAAGAUUAAAGGUUUGUUGAAGAGAAUCAAGAAGAUUGAUGUGGUUGAUGAAUACAGAUGGGGCCAUGUUUAGUUGAAAGGAAUACAAGAGCAUGGUCAUGAUGAUUAGCAUGUGAGUCUCAUUGAUGAGGAGGUGAAGAAGCAU